CCUACGGGAGGCUGCAGUGGGGAAUAUUGGACAAUGGGGGAAACCCUGAUCCAGCGACGCCGCGUGAAUGAUGAAGGCCUUAGGGUUGUAAAGUUCUUUCGUCCGUGAGGCAGUAGCGGAAGAAGAAGCUCCGGCUAACUUCGUGCCAGCAGCCGCGGUAAUACGAAGGGGGCUAGCGUUGCUCGGAAUUACUGGGCGUAAAGCGCACGUAGGCGGCGAUUCAAGUUAGAUGUGAAAGGCCUGGGCUCAACCCGGGAACUGCAUUUGAUACUGAAUUGCUAGAGUCCAAGAGAGGGUAGUGGAAUUCCCAGUGUAGAGGUGAAAUUCGUAGAUAUUGGGAAGAACACCAGUGGCGAAGGCGGCUACCUGGCUUGGACUGACGCUCAGGUGCGAAAGCGUGGGGAGCGAACAGGAUUAGAUACCCUUGUAGUC
rnacentral:rRNA from 1 species